rnacentral:rRNA from 1 species
GUGGGGAAUAUUGGUCAAUGGUCGAGAGACUGAACCAGCCAAGUAGCGUGCAGGAUGACGGCCCUAUGGGUUGUAAACUGCUUUUAUACGGGGAUAAAGUGAGCCACGUGUGGUUUUUUGCAGGUACCGUAUGAAUAAGGACCGGCUAAUUCCGUGCCAGCAGCCGCGGUAAUACGGAAGGUCCGGGCGUUAUCCGGAUUUAUUGGGUUUAAAGGGAGCGCAGGCGGGUUGUUAAGCGUGACGUGAAAUGUAGCCGCUCAACGGCUGAACUGCGUCGCGAACUGGCAGUCUUGAGUGAGUACGACGUCAGCGGAAUUCGUGGUGUAGCGGUGAAAUGCUUAGAUAUCACGAAGAACCCCGAUUGCGAAGGCAGCUGACGAGUCCUUUACUGACGCUAAAGCUCGAAGGUGCGGGUAUCGAACAGG